rnacentral:tRNA from 1 species
CCCCAGGUGGCGAAAUUGGUAGACGCAAACGACUCAAAAUCGUUCGGUAGUGAUACCAUGCCGGUUCGAGUCCGGCCCCGGGGA